CUUGGAGGCCUGCUUCUGAAGUCCUGUAGUCAUUCAUGACCUGGCAGGGAUUGCUCCAAGCCGUGUCAUUUGUGCACACAUGGAUAAGGAAUAUGGGAUAGUGGUCGGAGGGCUGGAUACAUUUUGGGAUUCUCUCAGCUAUAUCCCAGAUAUGGGCCCCUGGGAGGCAGCAGACCUCCCAGGCUAAGGGAUUGAGGUGGCAGAUUGCUCCCUCU